UCAUGCCUUUCAUAUUACAAUAUAUCACAUAUAUAGAGAUUACAUGUAUCACAGAAGCCUUAACAAUAUGUAAUUAACAGCUCAUAAAAGUAAGAAUAAAUAAGAAUAAAAUCAUAUUAGAUUCAUCAGCCAAUAAGUUUCAUGUUGUGUAUUCUAGCACUUGGAUUUAAAAUCUACGCACUCUCUAAGAAUCACGAUUUUGAAAAUUUGUGAAAAAAUAGAUGAGAAAUCAUAGAUUUUCGCAGCAUUCGGCUUGGCAAGACUCAAGGAAUGAGGCGCAAAGCUGUAAAAUGAAGGAGGUAGAGAUGCAUAAGAAUGAAUUGGAGGGAUGAUUUAAAUUAUAUCAGUUUUGCUUUUUCAGCGUUUAAAAGGACAAAUUAACUAGUUUUUUUCUUGAAAAUUGUUGUCAUAUGCAUUCAUUUGAUGGCUUCUCAGAAAUGAAACAGUAAUUUCUUUACUUGAAUCUAACGAUUGAAUUAUUUCAAUUUACUGCCUAAGAUCCAACAAAAUGAGCUAUAAACAAUGAGAAGGUACAUUAUCAGAAGCUCACAACAACAGAGGAUUAUUGAAAAUAAUUUGGCUCACAAAUUGUAUGCUAAUCUAUAAGGUUUAUGUAUACCUUGCAAUACAAGACCUCUUAGAAACUGCAAGAGUACCCUAUAUAUAUACAUAUAUAUAUAUCGGUAAUUUAUUUUAAAUCAAUUUGUGCAAAAUAUGGCCGCUUUGCCCACAAUGAGUCGCAUGCGGAUGGAAGUUUUUCGCACAUAUUUUGGAUUUGAACCUCAUUUCACAAAAUCAAGGAAAAAAACAGAGAGAAAUAAAUGCUCAAAAUUAAUCUCCCUUAAAUGUCAAUAUCAUGCAAGGCCCUUCAAACAAA
rnacentral:lncRNA from 1 species